UAAUAAAAACAAAAUAAUCUUUCUUCAAAGGAGGGAAAGGACAGCAACUUGCUUUGGUUUAAGUAAACCCUCACCUGAAGCAACUUCUUAUGUUAUAAAACACCAUCUUCUCUCCUCUGGACGUUCAUAACCUGCAAGAAAAACCAGAGAAAAAUUCAGAGAGAAAGAGAGAAAGAAGAGAGAAAAAUUUGUGAGAAAAACUAGUUGAAAAAUUCAGAAACAAAAUUUAGAGAAGAGAAUUGAGCAUGGACAAACCUUUCUCACCAUCCUGUGACUUUAUCCAGUGUGUACUGGUGUGGUUAAGAGCUGAAGGUUUGGUGUCCAAGAGUUUAGAAUUACCCAUAUUCUUCAGCCUUUGAUUUUGAUCGGUAAGAUGGUUGUGGAUCAGUUUCUUUGAGAAGUUUUGUUGGUUUACCUACACUGGAGAUAAAUUCUGAAUAAAUCCAACCAUGGAUUCUUGAGGUAUUGAUCAGGUUAAUUCGUGGUUAACUUGAAGAGAGACAACCAGUCAAGUUUAAUUAGUUGAGUAAAACCGGUAAGCUUCAGCUUCUUGAUUCAGCUAUGUUUUGAUGAGAACCAAUUGCUGUAUGUUGGUUAACCUGUCAGGAUCAGUUGUCUAAGGUCUUGUUCUCUUCAGUCUUGGUUGGUUUAUGAUUUAAUCAGUCUCAUAGAACCAGUAGACGAACUGAUAAGAAUUAUGGGAAUUAAACCGAACUGAUUUGAUCUUGUUUAGAACUGAAAUGAGCUGAGUAUGUUCUGAUCUGAUCUGAGCCGAGCUGAACAUGGUAUCAAUCUGUCUUGAACCGAACUGAUAUGAGAGAACUGAACUGAAAUGUUAUGAACUGAGUUGAGUUUCUUCUUGAACCAGACUAGUGAACCUUAUGUUCCAACUGUUAUGUUUUGAAUUCAGAUGGCCAAGGAGAGUAUUCGGAUCAGCCGGAUCCUUAUGAUGGUUCUAAACCGAGAGUGAUCCAGAAGUGAAGUGUGAUUAGCUUGAGCUCGAGUCUAGUCUUCCUUAGCCAAUCUCAUGGAUUUAAAGGUGAGUCUAGAUGAUGAAUGAAUUAUGAAUGAGUAUGCAUGAUUGCAUAUUGAAUAUUGAAUAUGGUUGAUUAAUUAAGAAUUAAUCAUGAAUUAAUUAAGGGAUAAUCAUUGAUUAAUUAAGGAUUAAUCAUAAAUUAAUUAAGGAGUAAUUAUGGUUGAUUGAUUAAGUAUUCUCCCUUGAUCUAUAUUUAUAUAUGAAGUAUUUAUCUAGUUUAAAUACUUAAGAAUUAAUAAGAAUAAUUCUUUGAGGUUAUCCCGAGCCUUAGUACUUGUUCUCAAGUACUAAUCUAUAAGUAUUCUAUUAAUAAGUGUGAAUCAUGUGAAGUCUUAUUGUAUACUCACUCUCCCGAAAGUCCCGCAUUACCGUGAAUUGGUCCUGCGAUAUGGAUCAAGGUCAUGAAGACACGAUGAUGGGGUCGCACCCUGGAGGCCGUGUAACUGCAUGCAGCGUUGGAUGUUCUAUCUUGGAAUAUCUGAUGGAGAUGAUGGUUAUAUUUAUUCCCCGUUAGGCUCGGUUAGCCUUGGUGGUUUUCCGGGUUUAGCAUAUAUAUAUAUAUAUAUUAAGAGUAUGAGUGAUUGGCGGGUAUCGUGGAGGUGAUGUUUAAGAUAGAUUCACAUGGAUGGAUUGAGAGGCCUUAUAAUUAUAUUAAUUAUGGAAUAUAAUUCCACUGCAUUCAAAUGGUGUCGCUUGCUCGGGAUACUAUUGAUAUGUGUUUGGGUGUGGGAUUAGACUCACUGAGUAAACUAGUUACUCAUGACUCAUUUGAUAUGCAGGUAACCAGUAGGUGGGAGACCUUUACUCUAGGACGGGAAGGAACGGCAUUAGCCAGCGGUAGUUUUAUUAUCC
rnacentral:lncRNA from 1 species